AACAUAAAUGUAGGAUGGAAUAUUAUACAGCGUUAAAAAGAUGAGAUCAUGUCAUUUGAGACAACAUGGAUGGACCUAGAGGGUAUUAUGCUAAGUGAAAUAAGUCAGAUUGAGAAACACAAAUACCAUCUGAUUUCACUUAUAUGUGGAGC